AGUAACGCAUAGGAAUUUACCCGGUAGUGGGGGAUAACCUGGGGAAACCCAGGCUAAUACCGCAUACGUCCUACGGGAGAAAGGGGGCUUUGGCUCCCGCUAUCGGAUGAGCCUAUGCCGGAUUAGCUAGUUGGUGAGGUAAUGGCUCACCAAGGCGACGAUCCGUAGCUGGUCUGAGAGGAUGAUCAGCCACAUCGGGACUGAGACACGGCCCGAACUCCUACGGGAGGCAGCAGUGGGGAAUAUUGGACAAUGGGGGCAACCCUGAUCCAGCCAUGCCGCGUGUGUGAAGAAGGCCCUCGGGUUGUAAAGCACUUUCAGCGAGGAAGAACGCCUGUCGGUUAAUACCCGGCAGGAAAGACAUCACUCGCAGAAGAAGCACCGGCUAACUCCGUGCCAGCAGCCGCGGUAAUACGGAGGGUGCAAGCGUUAAUCGGAAUUACUGGGCGUAAAGCGCGCGUAGGUGGCUUGAUAAGCCGGUUGUGAAAGCCCCGGGCUCAACCUGGGAACGGCAUCCGGAACUAUCAGGCUAGAGUGCAGGAGAGGAAGGUAGAAUUCCCGGUGUAGCGGUGAAAUGCGUAGAGAUCGGGAGGAAUACCAGUGGCGAAGGCGGCCUUCUGGACUGACACUGACACUGAGGUGCGAAAGCGUGGGUAGCAAACAGGAUUAGAUACCCUGGUAGUCCACGCCGUAAACGAUGUCGACCAGCCGUUGGGUGCCUAGCGCACUUUGUGGCGAAGUUAACGCGAUAAGUCGACCGCCUGGGGAGUACGGCCGCAAGGUUAAAACUCAAAUGAAUUGACGGGGGCCCGCACAAGCGGUGGAGCAUGUGGUUUAAUUCGAUGCAACGCGAAGAACCUUACCUACCCUUGACAUCCUGCGAACUUGUGAGAGAUCACUUGGUGCCUUCGGGAGCGCAGAGACAGGUGCUGCAUGGCUGUCGUCAGCUCGUGUUGUGAAAUGUUGGGUUAAGUCCCGUA
rnacentral:rRNA from 1 species